rnacentral:rRNA from 1 species
GACGAACGCUGGCGGUGUGCUUAACACAUGCAAGUGGUGCGACGAACCAGAGCUUGCUCUGGGGCAAAGCCGCGAACGGGUGAGUAACACGUGGGUAAUCUACCCCGAUGACCGGGACAACCCGAGGAAACUCGGGCUAAUACCGGAUGUGGUGCGGAGACAUAAGUCUCUUCACUAAAGGUAGCUUCGGCUUCCGCAUUGGGAGGGGCCCGCGGCCCAUUAGCUUGUUGGUGGGGUCAAGGCCUACCAAGGCAACGAUGGGUAGCUGGUCUGAGAGGACGAUCAGCCACACUGGGACUGAGACACGGCCCAGACUCCUACGGGAGGCAGCAGUGGGGAAUCUGGCGCAAUGCGCGAAAGCGUGACGCAGCAACACCGCGUGAGGGAAGAAGGCCUUAGGGUUGUAAACCUCUUUCAGAUGGGACGAAGGUUCUCCGGUGAAUAGCCGAGAGGAUUGACGGUACCGUCAGAAGAAGCUCCGGCUAACUACGUG